GCAUUGUAAGAAAGGAGGGCAGGUUAGCGCUCUCCUUGACAAGAAUGGAAGAGGCCCUCAGGCCUGACAACACACAUACUGUUAAGGCAUUGCCACCUGCUUCAUAGACUCUAACCACUGUUUUUU
rnacentral:ncRNA from 1 species